GACGAACGCUGGCGGCGUGCUUAACACAUGCAAGUCGAACGGAAAGGCCCUGCUUUUGUGGGGUGCUCGAUUGGCGAACGGGUGAGUAACACGUGAGUAACCUGCCCUUGACUUUGGGAUAACUUCAGGAAACUGGGGCUAAUACCGGAUAGGAGCUCCUGCUGCAUGUUGGUGGUUGGAAAGUUUCGGCGGUUGGGGAUGGACUCGCGGCUUAUCAGCUUGUUGGUGGGGUAGUGGCUGACCAAGGCUUUGACGGGUAGCCGGCCUGAGAGGGUGACCGGCGACAUGGGGACUGAGAUACGGCCCAGACGCGUACGUGAGGCAGUGGUGGGGAACAUUGCACAACGGGCGGAAGUCUGAGGUAGAAACGCCGCGUGCGGGAUGACGGCUUUCUGGGGGUAAACCGAUUUGGCCUUUGCCGAAGAGUGAGUGACGGUAAUGGGUCAAGAAGCAACGGCUAACUACGUG
rnacentral:rRNA from 1 species